AUACAUGGUUUCUCUUUAGAAUGAACAAAUCUUUUGCCUUUUAUUAAAGAUUUCCGUGGAGAGGAGCAAAACUGAGUUUUAUCUCAAUGUUUGCGAUAUAAGGGAAAAAAAAUUUCCAC